GGGUCCGAUCAUACCAGCACUAAUGCACCGGAUCCCAUCAGAACUUCGCAGUUAAGAGUGCUUGGGCAAGAGUAGUACUGGGGUGGGUGACCUCCUGGGAAGUCCUCGUGUUGCACCCU
rnacentral:rRNA from 1 species